rnacentral:rRNA from 1 species
UACCAGCACCCCGAGUGGUCGGGACGAUUAUUGGGCCUAAAGCAUCCGUAGCCGGUCCUACAAGUCUUCCGUUAAAUCCACCUGCUCAACAGAUGGGCUGCGGAAGAUACUAUAGGGCUAGGAGGCGGGAGAGGCAAGCGGUACUCAGUGGGUAGGGGUAAAAUCCUCUGAUCCAUUGAAGACCACCAGUGGCGAAGGCGGCUUGCCAGAACGCGCUCGACGGUGAGGGAUGAAAGCUGGGGGAG